CGCGACCUUUUCAGGAAGUGGAUAGUGAAUGUAAUCAUGCUCCCAAGAAAAACCUCUAAGCUUCAGGUAACAGCAGCCCGUACCGUAAACCGACACAGGUAGUCGAGGAGAGUAUCCUAAGGCGCUCGAGUGAUUCAUGGCUAAGGAACUAGGCAAAAUCGACCCGUAACUUCGGGAGAAGGGUCCCUCUUAGUAAUAAGAGGCGCAGUUAAAAGGCCCAGGCGACUGUUUAGCAAAAACACAGGACUCUGCAAAAUCGUAAGAUGAAGUAUAGGGUCUGACACCUGCCCGGUGCCGGAAGGUUAAGGAAGCUUGUAAUUUCUUCGGAGAGAAGCUUGUGACUGAAGCCCCGGUAAACGGCGGCCGUAACAAUAACGGUCCUAAGGUAGCGAAAUUCCUUGUCGGGUAAGUUCCGACCUGCACGAAUGGUGUAACGAUCUGGGCACUGUCUCGGCCAUGAGCUCGGUGAAAUUGUAGUCUCGGUGAAGAUGCCGGGUUCCCGCAACGGGACGGAAAGACCCCGUGAACCUUCACUAUAGCUUCGCAUUGACAUAGGAUAAAUGAUGUGUAGGAUAGGUGGGAGACUACGAAGCGGGCACGCCAGUGCUCGUGGAGUCGUCCUUGAAAUACCACCCUUUAUUUAUCUUGUGCCUAACCCCGCUAAAGCGGGGGACAUUGCGUGGUGGGUAGUUUGACUGGGGUGGUCGCCUCCUAAAGAGUAACGGAGGCUCCCAAAGGUUUCCUCAGCACGCUUGGUACCGUGCGUAGAGUGUAAAGGCACAAGGAAGCUUGACUGUAAGACUGACAAGUCGAGCAGGUACGAAAGUAGGGCUUAGUGAUCCGGUGGUUCCGCAUGGAAGGGCCAUCGCUCAAAGGAUAAAAGGUACUCCGGGAUAACAGGCUGAUCUCCCCCAAGAGCUCAUAUCGACGGGGAGGUUUGGCACCUCGAUGUCGGCUCGUCACAUCCUGGGGCUGGAGAAGGUCCCAAGGGUUGGGCUGUUCGCCCAUUAAAGUGGCACGCGAGCUGGGUUCAGAACGUCGCAAGACAGUUCGGUCCCUAUCUGUUGUGGGCGUUAAUAAUUGAGAAGAUCUGACGUUAGUACGAGAGGACCGCGUUGGACUGGCCUCUAGUGUACCAGUUGUGCCGCAAGGUGCAUUGCUGGGUAGCUAUGCCGGGAAGGGAUAAGCGCUGAAAGCAUCUAAGCGCGAAGCCUACUUCAAGAUGAAUUAUUUUAGAGUCGUGGAAGAUGACCACGUUGAUAGGUUGCAGGUGUAAAGGCAGUGAUGUCAUA
rnacentral:rRNA from 1 species